CCUACGGGUGACAGCAGUGAGGAAUAUUGGUCAAUGGUCGGGAGACUGAACCAGCCAAGCCGCGUGAGGGAGGAAGGUACAGAGUAUCGUAAACCUCUUUUGUCAGAGAACAAAGGCGGGGACGUGUCCCCGGCUGCGUGUACCUGAAGAAAAAGCAUCGGCUAACUCCGUGCCAGCAGCCGCGGUAAUACGGAGGAUGCGAGCGUUAUCCGGAUUUAUUGGGUUUAAAGGGUGCGAAGGCGGUCUGUUAAGUCAGCGGUCAAAGUGCGGGGCUCAACCCCGUCCCGCCGUUGAAACUGGCAGUCUUGAGUUGGAGAGAAGUAUGCGGAAUGCGCGGUGUAGCGGUGAAAUGCAUAGAUAUCGCGCAGAACUCCGAUUGCGAAGGCAGCAUGCCGGCUCCACACUGACGCUGAGGCACGAAAGCGUGGGGAUCGAACAGGAUUAGAUACCCCAGUAGUC
rnacentral:rRNA from 1 species